rnacentral:misc_RNA from 1 species
AGGUGAGAGAGCUGGUAGGCGAUGGGGCAAAGUCACGAGUCGGCCUUCGUGGUUGACUUAUGGUGUCUUUGGCUUGAUGUCGAAGGCCUCUUAAGCUGCCUUCCGAGUGGCGACUUCGAUUUUGGUGAUGCCACAUCGGGGAAACUGCGAAAACGUCUUGGCUUAGAUCAAGGUGGGGGUCAUAUUUUACAUGAUCAUCCUAGGAUGGUGCGGAUGGCUGGAUGGCAAGUGGGCAAGGCACGGUGUGGUCUUUUUAGAAGAUUGAUGUGUGUCUUUAGUCUGACUGUCAAAAAGUGAUUGGAGGCCGUCAUCCGAGUGAAAACUGUGAAAACGUGAUGAUCUAAUCGUUUGAAGAUGCAAUCUUGUCGAAAGGCAAGUUGAUUGUUGAGAACGUCCCUAGAUCAGAUUGUUGACCAUGUUAUUAUUCGAUUAUGAUCAUGCUAGCCUUGAUCAACCUAGGAUUGCACUAACUACUGUAUGGCUUGGAUGAGGGUGAGAGACACAACGUGUGUCCUUUUGUAGGAAUGCCGUGAGUCUUUUUUCUGACCGUCAUAUAGCGAUCGUAAGAUGCAUUCCGAGCGGAGACCUUUUUUGUGGUGUGUUUUGUUCAAAUUGGAUCUCUUCGUAUCGUGCGGUACAUUUUGGGGUCGUAUUUGGAUUUCGGUUAUUUGCUUGGCUCUUUAGCCUUGCGGGUGGCUGUUUCCCAUGGCGGCUUCGGGGAUGUCUAUCGUAAAGGUGCAUGAGUGGUGUUUGGUUUGAUACGGGUGGUUGGCUCCCUGCUUGAGCAGGCACGGCCACACGUACAUUCCUUUUCAGUUGUGCGGCAAGGCUUGUAUCGUCUUGAUCGUAUAUGUGGGUUUCCUGUGUUGCAUACCUCAUCAACGGCAUCGUUUUGAUAAAAAACAUACCUUUUUCGUCAGGCGUUGCACCCGCAAUGUCGGAUGAACCAUGCAGCAUCCUCUUUGAUCCAUAUAGUCGAUGAGCGUUCAUUGAUUGUUUGGCCCGUUGAGGGUGCCUUGGUCUCUCGGAUAUGGAAGCGAUAGUGGGCAUGGGUUCGUAUGAUCCUUUUAUUGCCCUCGUUGAGCGUUCUCGCUUCUCUUACACGACUGCCUUCACGUGUGGCACGUCCCAUCGUGUUUGGCUACGUCGAAGAGGAAUGC